rnacentral:rRNA from 1 species
AUUGAACGCUGGCGGCAGGCUUAACACAUGCAAGUCGAGCGGAUGAAGGUAGCUUGCUACCGGAUUCAGCGGCGGACGGGUGAGUAAUGCUUAGGAAUCUGCCUAUUAGUGGGGGACAACGUUCCGAAAGGAGCGCUAAUACCGCAUACGUCCUACGGGAGAAAGCAGGGGACCUUUGGGCCUUGCGCUAAUAGAUGAGCCUAAGUCGGAUUAGCUAGUUGGUAGGGUAAAGGCCUACCAAGGCGACGAUCUGUAGCGGGUCUGAGAGGAUGAUCCGCCACACUGGGACUGAGACACGGCCCAG